GAUCAUGGCUCAGGAUGAACGCUAGCGACAGGCCUAACACAUGCAAGUCGAGGGGCAGCGAAGAGGUAGCAAUACCUUUGUCGGUCGACCGGCGCACGGGUGAGUAACACGUAUGCAAUCCACCUGUAACAGGGGGAUAACCCGGGAGAAAUCCGGACUAAAUACCCCAUAAUAUGGGCGCUCCGCAUGGAGAGCCCAUUAAAGAGAGCAAAUUUUGGUUACAGACGAGCAUGCGCUCCA
rnacentral:rRNA from 1 species